rnacentral:rRNA from 1 species
GGGGAAUAUUGCGCAAUGGGCGAAAGCCUGACGCAGCGACGCCGCGUGAGGGAUGAAGGUUCUCGGAUCGUAAACCUCUGUCAGAAGGGAAGAAACCGCACCGUGCUAAUCAGCGGUGCAUUGACGUUACCAACAGAAUAAGCACCGGCUAACUUCGUGCCAGCAGCCGCGGUAAUACGAAGGGUGCAAGCGUUAAUCGGAAUUACUGGGCGUAAAGCGCGCGUAGGUGGUUUGGUAAGAUGGAUGUGAAAUCCCCGGGCUCAACCUGGGAACUGCCUUUGAUACUGCUUAGCUUGAAUCCGGGAGAGGGUGGCGGAAUUCCAGGUGUAGGAGUGAAAUCCGUAGAUAUCUGGAGGAACAUCAGUGGCGAAGGCGGCCACCUGGACCGGUAUUGACGCUGAGGUGCGAAAGCGUGGGGAGCAAACA